GAUUAUUAACUUAUUUAAAUUGGUCUUUUUUUUGUUUUAUUAGAAAUAAUUAAUUGUUAAUUUAUUUUAGAAAUGAUUUUUUUUAUAAUAGUUUAUUAGUAAAGUGAUUGAGCGUUGAAAUAUUUGAAAAUUUUUUUCUUUAAUAAGAAUAGUUAAUUUCUUGUACCUUUUGUAUCAGGGUUUAUAGAUUAUAUUUUAAAUAUUUAAUUUUCCCGAAUUAAGAAGAGUUAAUUUUAUAUUUAUUUUAAUAUGACAAAAUUAUUUAUAAUAUAAAUUUAGCAGAGAAAUUUUAUUCGUUUCUUAUUAUAUCUGGUUUUUUUAGAUACAAAUUUAAUUUGCUUUAUUUGAAUAAGCUUUCUAUUUUUGGGUUGUUUAGGUUAAAUAAUGAUAAUUUCGUGGGGAUGAGCUGACGAAAUUAGUCUAAAUUUUAUAAUUGAUUAAAUGAAUAGUAGGAUUAAAAUUUUCUUUCUCUUAGUAUUUUAUAAUUUAUUAUUUUAUAAUUAUUAUUUUUUUUAAAAUUAGAUUUUUUAUAAGAAUUCAUAUUUUAAUUAUUUAUGUUUGGUAAUAGUUAUAUAAUUAGUAAAAUUAAUUUUAGGUUUAUUAUAUUUUGUUAGGUAAAUUUAAGGAAUUCAGCAAUUAGCUUCUCGCCUGUUUAAUAAAAACAUGGUUUUUUGAUAAUGAUUUAAGAUCUGGCCUGCCCACUGAAAAUUUGAAUGGCCGCGGUAAUUUAACCGUGCGAAGGUAGCAUAAUCAAUAGUUUUUUAAUUGAAAGCUGGUAUGAAUGGUUGGACGAGGAAGUUUCUGUCUCUGAUUUAGUUUUUUUGAAUUUUAUUUUUGAGUUAAAAAGCUUAAAUUUAAUUAAAAGACGAGAAGACCCUAUAGAGUUUUAUUAAAAAUUUAUUUUAUUUAUUAAGAUUAAUUUUAUUAGAUUUUUUAAUUUUGUUGGGGUGACAUUAAGAUUAAAUUAACUCUUAAAUUUUUAUUUCAAUUAUAUUUGUAAAUUUGAUCCAAAAUUUUUGAUUAAUAGAUUAAAUUACCUUAGGGAUAACAGCGUUAUUUUUUUUGAGAGUUCUUAUCGAUAAAAAAGAUUGCGACCUCGAUGUUGGAUUAAAAUAUACUUUUGGCGCAAGAGCUUAAAUAGUUGAGUCUGUUCGACUUUUAAAAUUUUACAUGAUCUGAGUUUAAACCGGUGUGAGCCAGGUUGGUUUCUAUCUUUAUAAAGUUUAAAUUUUUUAGUACGAAAGGACCAAAUUUUUAAUUUAAAAUUUAUUUUUGAUAAUUAAUAAUU
rnacentral:rRNA from 1 species